AUCUGGCAGCCAAGGAAAUUCAGCUUAGAGAGGAGAGCGGGUGAAGCCUGGGACUAGGUAAAGUCUGACAGCUGGAGCACAACGGAUGCCCACUUGUGCUCCGGCUGUUUUGCAUGGCCAGACAUCUUGCUCACAGGUUUGGGAAGGAGGAAGAACAGGCUGACAUGGACAAUCGCUUCUUGCUGGGAGUUACAGGGAGGAGAUGCUCAGUUUCAUCAUACGCCAUUCAAGGGGAAUUCACGAAGUUCAAGGAGGGGCUGCCACUUCGCCACAGCAGUUAACAUGCUGCUUGAGACACCCAAGUUUCCUAUUGGAGUUCCUGGGUUCAAGUCGUGGUUUUACUCCUGAUUCCAGCUUCCAGCUGCAGUACACCCUUGGCAGGCAAUAGGACCCGCUUGGAUAAUCUCCACAUCAGAAGAGCCUUGCGUUAGUCACAUCUGCAAUUUCUUUUCAUAUAAGAAAUCCUGCUGCCUGGGAAGUUGUGCUGUACUGCUAUGGAAUUAUCACAGAAGCUUAUCUGACAAUUAUGAUAUCACAUCAAGAAAAUAUGACUUCUAAAGUAUGAGAGAAAACUUUUGCAGCACCAUGACCAAUCACAUUUUGGUUUGGAAAUAAAAACUAAGGUCUAUAUGUGAUAAUUAGUUGAGUGACUUCAGUUGCAGGAAUCCCUCUAUCCCACCCAAGGCUGGCUGUCAGCGUCGAUGAAAUGGAAUGUCAAACUGAAAAACUCUAAAGCUAUUUCUUCCAUAUUAGAAAAUCACUAGCAAAUCACAUCUUCCUGCACUACUGGCAAGGUAAAAAAUAAAAAAUUAGCAAAUUUCUCUCUCCUUGUUUCAUCAAACUUUAAUCUAACUUGUUUACCUCUAUUGUGGGACUGAUCACA